GAUGAACGCUGGCGGCGUGCCUAACACAUGCAAGUCGAGCGAUUCUCUUCGGAGAAGAGCGGCGGACGGGUGAGUAACGCGUGGGUAACCUGCCCUGUACACACGGAUAACAUACCGAAAGGUAUGCUAAUACGAGAUAAUAUGCUUUUAUCGUAUGGUAGAAGUAUCAAAGCUCCGGCGGUACAGGAUGGACCCGCGUCUGAUUAGCUAGUUGGCAAGGUAACGGCUUACCAAGGCGACGAUUAGUAGCCGACCUGAGAGGGUGAUCGGCCACAUUGGAACUGAGACACGGUCCAAACUCCUACGGGAGGCAGCAGUGGGGAAUAUUGCACAAUGGGCGAAAGCCUGAUGCAGCAACGCCGCGUGAGCGAUGAAGGCCUUCGGGUCGUAAAGCUCUGUCCUCAAGGAAGAUAAUGACGGUACUUGAGGAGGAAGCCCCGGCUAACUACGUGCCAGCCGCCGCGGUAA
rnacentral:rRNA from 1 species